rnacentral:rRNA from 1 species
UACGUAGGCAGCAAGCGUUGUUCGGAGUUACUGGGCGUAAAGAGUGUGUAGGCGGUCCUUUAAGUUUGGUGUGAAAUCUCCCGGCUCAACUGGGAGGGUGCGCCGAAAACUGGAGGGCUAGAGUGCGGGAGAGGAGUGCGGAAUUCCUGGUGUAGCGGUGAAAUGCGUAGAUAUCAGGAGGAACACCGGUGGUGUAGACGGCUCUCUGGACCGCAACUGACGCUGAGACACGAAAGCGUGGGGAGCAAACAGG